rnacentral:lncRNA from 1 species
CUUCUGGGAGCUGAGCAUCUGUACAUCCCCUUUGAGUAACUUUCACUGCAGCCCUUUUCUGGUGAUUUUUCAGAGCAGUGAAGCCAUGAGUGCACAGGGAAUCAGUGAGCAGCAGAUACAAGAAUUGUCUUGACAGUUGGAACUGGAAAUAAACUACUGCAGAUUUCACGUUCUGCAGGAGGAGCUGGAAAAGCAAUGUAGCACUUGGGGGAAAUCUACCCUUGCAGAGACAGAAAACCUGAAGAUACCUGGGACAGUUGGAAAGCCAAA